rnacentral:rRNA from 1 species
UACGGAGGGUGCAAGCAUUAAUCGGAAUUAUUGGGCGUAAAGGGCGCGUAGGCGGUUAUGUAAGUCAGAUGUGAAAUUCCGAAACUCAAUUUCGGAGCUGCAUUUGAAACUAUAUGACUUGAGGUUUGGCGGAGAGAACGGAAUUCCACGUGUAGCGGUGAAAUGCGUAGAUAUGUGGAAGAACACCGGUGGCGAAAGCGGUUUUCUAGCUUAUACCUGACGCUGAGGCGCGAGAGCAAGGGGAUCAAACAGG